UUGAGGUUAUUAUGUCAUUUUGGAGAUAAAGUAGCUAAUUAUUUCAUGUUGGAGCUAAAUUAGCUAAUUAUGUCAUUUAGGAGGAUAAUUAGCUAAGUAUGUCUUUGUUGGUAAAAUAAGCUAAGGAGAAGAAGAAACAGGAGAAGGAGAAGAAGAAGGAGGAGGAGGAGGAGGAGGAGAAGGAGGAGGAGGAGGAGAAGAAGAAGAAGGAGAAGAAGA
rnacentral:lncRNA from 1 species